UGUCUACACCCCCACCCCCUCCAUCUACGUCGCCCCGUCCAGUCGCUCUGUCCAUCCCACCUCUCCCCCUCUCUCCUCCUCCUCCUCCUCUCUCUCCAUCUCUCUCGCAGCCUCCUUCUGUUUUUACACCUGCGCACAGUCCUGGAGCCGGUGAAUCACGCUCGAGCCCUGUCUCUUCCCGUCUAUGCCCCCGUGAGCGCAUGCAGAUACGAACGCAUCACAAGCCACCAUUUUAAGCCGACAGCGCAGAUCACGAAGGAAAUUAACCCGGGAAAGGCACGGGCGCCGGUGGGUUUCCUCGACAGGAUGCAGAUGAGAUUGUGUCGUGGUUAAUUUUUAACGGCGCUCCGCUUUUGUUUUUCUCCGCGUAGAGACUGCGCCGUGCGCCGCUGUCUGUUGGGAUUGGUCAGCUUGUGUUCUUCUCUGUUUUUUUUUUUUCCUCUCUUCGCCGGAGAGAGGGACCCGAAGUGCUGAUGCGUCGUUGACGCCGCCAGCUUGAAGCCCCUCACCAUCCGCACAGACAUGGGACCAGUGGACGCGCAACUCUCAGUCAUCACGACCCGGACUAUCGGCGGACCAGUGUGUAGCUAAGACAGAAGUCUAUCGUGAGCGGAAACAAAGCUUCUGACUGACCAAAGAGCAAGCGGACGAGGCAAGCGGCAGCAGGCCCUCCCUAUGUGAAGAGGUCAUGCCUUACUGAAGGUCAGGUGACAUUUGACCUUUGACCUGAGCUGACUGGCCAGUGGAUACUGCAUGGUCCAUUCAGAGGUUAGAGAGCUGAAGCGGACACAGAAGGGCUGUUUGGUCUAACCUCUAGGAAGAUACCAUCACAGGACAUUAGCACCACACACACACACACACACACACACACACACACACACACA